CUCAGCAAAAAGAGGAAGAUUGGCAGUAGUUAGCUCAGGGCAAAUCUUCCUCAAAAAAAAAAAAGUAAAUUGAAAACACAUUACUAAUUUAGCAGUGCUACGGAAAGUUUGGAAGAUAAAGUAAAAGGCCACCUAUAAUCAUGCUGCUGUCACAUGAUUUCUAUUAUCCUUUUGGUGUUUUCCCUUCUAACUGUUUUUCAAUAAACAUAUAUUUGCAUGGUUGUAAUUCUAGCAGACAUUUAACUUUUUUUCUGCUUGUUUUUUUUAAGCAUUAUGUUGUAGGUACUUCAUGUGCUAUUACAGAAGAUUUAUUACCAUUAAAAAACUACUUCUUCAAAUGAGAAAACUGAGAGCUGAGAGUUUGAAGAAAUCUGCCAAUUUUACAAGUGAAUAAAUGUUAGCGCUCGCAUUCAAACUCAGGUGGCUUCCUGUGACAGAGGAAGGAGGAGUGCAACCUCAUUACUGUCAGAACUUUAGGAUUCCUUGGAAAUCCUUCAACAUGCUCCUUAGGGAUGACGGAUACCUACUGGGUGGAGUCCUCUCCUUCUUGAGACAACUUUUCAACCAGAGUAGCGAUUGUAGAUGAAUUCCUAACCCCUGGUACCUGUGAAUGUGACUUUAUUUGGAAAUAGGAUCUUUGCAGAUGUAAUCAAGUCAAAAUGAGUGUCGGCCCUAAUCCAAUAACUGAUAUCCAUAUAAGAAGAGGGAUAUUUGGACUUAGACACAGAGGAGACACAGUGGGGAGAACACCAUGUGAAGAUGGAGACAGAAAUUGAAGUGAUGGAUCUAAAAGCCAAGGAAUACCAAAGAGGAAUGGCAAACACGAGAAGCUAAGAGAGAAGCAUGGAACAGAUUCUUACUCAGGGCCUCCAGAAGGAACCAACCUACUGACACCUGGAUUUCAGAAUUCUAGUCUCCAGAACUGUGAGAGAAUAAAUUUAUACCAUUUUAAGUGACUCGGUUUGUGGCAUUUUGUUAUGGCAGUCCUAGAAAACUAAAACAGUAGCUUUCCUUUGAUUUGUCUUAUGUCUGCAUAACAUGACACUUGCAGGAAGAAUUGACUUACUUGUGAAAUGUUUAGAAACCGUGACUCUCUUCCAUUGAUGGCGGUGAUAGGUGAGGAAAAGCAGUGGGGCUCUUUGCCUCUGAAUAAAACUCUUUUGUUAGAGUAGCAGUAUGUUCUAAGUAUUCUACAGUAUUUCUAGUAAUGUGUUUUUUCAUUUGAUAAAUUUUAAUUACUGUUCCCUGUCCUCGCUUCCAUGGUCCAUUCUCUGUACAGCUAGGACAAAUUACAAUUUCAAUGAUACUACGUUAUACUGUGCUCAAAACCACUCACCUUCACAGACACCCUAGCUAAUGGACCAAGGAAGUGCCUUGACUCUCCUUUCUUUCAAAUGAGUUCCUUUCCAGAAUAGUAUACUGCCUGGGAAGCUAAGCAGGAGCCAUUAUUCCCAGAUUGUUCUGGGGCCACUCAUCAAUCCCAAGAGGCCCAGCCGUGUUUUUUACUACAAGGUGCAUGAAGUUCUUAUGGAAAUAAAACCAGUAGGCCCACCUUCCACUCCUGCCCCUUAAGGCAUGCCUUGAAUACGUUUUUUCACAUAUUACUAGAAAUCACUGGAAAAAAAUUUAGGUAGUAUGCAAAAUUUUGUUUUAGACACCAUGAAUAAAGAUAAGUUGCUGUUUCGUUUGUAAGGAAAAAGCAGGCAGCAUUAUUGUAUAAUCUUAUUAAGGGCAGUGUAUCAUUUCCAAAUCCAGGAAGUCAUAGUUUCCUACUGGUACUGGCUAAAAAGCAGUAGUUGAAUGGAUUAGUAGAGCUAAUUAGAUCCAUUUAAAAUUAUUGUUUUUACUCUUUUCAAUUAAGAGUAUAUUUAUUUUCUUAGUAAUAUUUCAACACAGCAAUUAUAGUUUAAAUAAACAAGUGAAAGAAUGCAGACACUUAUUCAAAAGAGAUGCUCAUAACAUUGUUUUAAAUUCUUAAAAUUUAUAGCUGUGUUCAGUGAAUUCCAGUGGGAUUUAGUGAGUUUAUUUCCUUUUUGGUUUUAAUUAGGAAACCCUACUGGAAUUGUGGAUAGCUGUACAAGCUAGAGGAAUGGGUAUGUUUUUACUUGAUUAUAUUGGAUGUUAGUGAUUUUUUCUUUAAUAAAAUUUCAGUGAUGUUAUGGUAUUAGUUGAGGUUUCUUUUUUCCUUAAGAAUGGUAGAAAUGAAACCAAAUAUUUACUUAAAGACAUUUUGAAUGUUGCAAAAGUAUGUGCUUAUUGAGAAAGUUGAGUUUUCUCUAAGAAAAAACCUCUAACUUCUAUGUUUUGACUGCAUAUCAGUUUGAGAUUGGGGCCUUGUGAAACUCCAACUAAACAAAAUAAGUAUUCAGAAAAACAUUCUUUUAUUUGUGGUGGUGAGCAGAGGCAAGACAGAGGGGAAAGGGCUUGGAAUAGAUGAACAAUUUGCUUAGAUUUUCUAGAAGGGCCACUUAGAAACUGUUAGGAGCAUGGACUCAGCCACGAAACUUAGGAUCCUCAGUGAUUCAUGGUCAUUUUGGGGUUUCAACAGAAACUUUGUUCCUGCAUAAUUGUUGCUCUCUGACUGUGUAUAUAUAUAUUUAUAUAAAAUUGGUAUAUAAUAAUUAUUAUACGUAAUACAUAUAUUAGCUCUGCAGCUUCCCAAAAGAUGGCAGUUGACAUCCUAUGUCUUGCCUCCUUCAUCCUGAAUCCCACACUGAUUGCCCUAAGCACAGUACCUCAUGAACUUUCUCCUCUUGAAUUCUCACAUUUCCGUCCUACUUGGACCUACUUUUACCAGAGUUGACUGACGACUUCCUUUGCUUACCCCCACCCUGUCCUCACUAUUAGCCCUUAUGCAUGCCAGGUCUUUAGGCCACAAUUCCAUUAUAAAAAGCUCUCGUAGAUAUUGACUUUUCCCUUCUCCUCUUUCAUUUCAUUGACUUAACCUAAAUCUAGAUCAUUAGAUUCUGGAGGAAAAAGGGAUCUUAAGGAUCAAUUUACCUCACCUGAUGAAGGCUAUAUAGCAUUUCGAAGUUACACAGCUGUACAGGAACACUGCUAGAAGUACUUGUACUACAUAUUCCUCUCACAUUUGUUAAUAUAAUCAUUUAUAAUAAUACUUUAUAUCUUAGAUUAUUAAGGCAUAAGAUAAUAGUAGAAAUAAAUCUGAUAGUGAUGUGACAAUGUAAUAAUUUACUUAUUGAACAUAUUUAUUGAGCAUAUACUGUGUGUCAACAAUUGAUCUAGAUACUGGGAAUGAAGCUGGAAAUAAAGUGGAAAAAAAUCUCAAUCUUCAUGAACUUUGUAUCCUUGUAGUGAAAGAUGGAUUCUAAACCUAUACAUAAAUGAACUACACAAUGGUUUGCUAUGGUGCUGCAAAUUCAAGUAGAGAAGGGGGAGGGGAAACAUAGGGGGUUGUAUGUUCCGGUGUGUGUGGAGUGAGCUGAUGAAACCAAGGCUUUGGAAGUGAGGAAACUGAAUAUACUGGAACGGAAUCAAAGAAGCAUAUGUCCUUUUUGACUUUAUUUUUGCUAAUGAAGAAGGAUUAACAUAUAUAAUCCUUCGAAAGUUUUUUUUCUUCCUCCUGAUAUGAGCAAUGGAAAAUUGUGGCAGAGAGUAAUGUAAGGAAAGGAUGUUUUUACCCUGGCUGCUACCCUCAUUACCUUCAUUUUUCUUUGAGGAUCUCAUUUCUCAAAAAGGCAUGAUUCACCCGUUGACACGGCAAUCACUAGGUAAGUUAAUUUAAAUCUAGAAUUUGCAUUUCUUCCUUUUCAAGAACUGAGUUCCUUACUUGGAGGCAAAGAGUGUUUAAUCAAGGCUGCAUGUAAGAGAAAAAAUAAGAUGCAGAAGAGACCUAGAGCUGCCAGAGCCUCAGCUCAAAUAUUCAUGUACUGAACGUUCAAGGAGAGAGCUACAGCCUGGAAACCCCUUUACUGUGGGAAACUGGAGAGGGAAUUGGCACUGAUGCCUUGGAAAACAGAGAAAUAAGUACUGACUAGUUCUCUCUGGAACCGAGUGAGUGGCAUACUGUUUCAAAACUGGGGCAAAAACUCCUUGAGUUAAGUAAGAGUGAUUAAAUAAGGGAAAUAAUGUUUCCCAAUUAUUUCUCUUAACGUGUGUUUGUGUAUACAUACCAUAGUAGGGGAGGAAUACAUAUGUUGAAUUUCCCUGGUGUUUUUCCUGCUUCUCCUAUGAUUUCUCUUUCCUUUCCCAACUCUCUUCUUCUCCCUGCUCUUAAUGUUAAUGUUGUUUGGGGUUCCAUCCUUUGGUCACUGCUCUCCUCCUUCUACCUCCUCUCCCAGGUAAUUCUGCCCGUUAACAGGGAUUUAGUUGUCACCUAAGGAGAGAUGACAUCCCAAUCUCUCUCUCUCUACCUCGCUUCUCCGAUCACUAGACUAGUAACAUUGCACUUGUAUGUCAUAUGGGCACCUCAGAUACCUUAGGUAGGGAAAUCAAUUAACCACCUUUGCUCUACAGAUUUGUUCAUCCUUUUUAGUCUCCAUUUCACUAUCCAUCGCAUCUCCCAAGCUAGAUACUCAAGUCAUUGUUGAUUGAUCCCUUUCUAUCAUCAGUCAAUCCCUGCUAUUGCCAGUUUUAUGUCCCCAAAAUAUUUUAAAUUUCUUCCUUUCCACCCAUACGGCUCUACCCUAAUUUAGAGUCUUAUCUCAUCUCCCUUCCUUCCCCAACUCCAUCCAUCCUCCACAUUUCUGCUGGAGAGAUCUUUGAAAAUGCAAAUCUGACCAUGUUGGUAUCCUGCUUUGAUCAUUUCCCAUAAUUGACUCCCUUUAUAAUCAGGCUUUUUAUUACUUAAAGUUUAGCUUUAUGUUGCUAUAUAAUGCAAUACUCAUUUUGGAAAGAAAUCCAACAAGUGCAUAAAAAUGAUAGCACUAUAAAAUCCAAGGAUUGAAAGACUCUUCAAGGGUCACCAGUGGAAUAUCUGUCUCCUCUCUGGAGGUAUCCAAGCAGAAGCCAUGUGUAAAAGGAGAAGAACUAAAAAUGGAGAGAAUUUAAGUCUCAGAUAUAAUUUGAUCUCAGUGAACUCUCAGCCUCCUUUCAAACCAAUUCUGGAUUGUUUGGAGAAGUCCAACUCAUUUUCUUGACCCAGCUUAAUGACAUUUCCUUCAUGAAGUCUUCCCUCAUCCUUAGUUAGAAGUGAUUUUUUUUUUUUUUACUUUGUUUCCUACUUAAGGACAGAACAUAUCUUUUCACUUUUGACACAUGGAAUGCACUCACUAAGUGCUGAAUGAAUAUGUGGAUACAAAAGAGCAUAAAGUUUUUUAAGUUCUAGUUUGUAUUAUUUUUGUUGGUAUAAAUGUCAAGACCGCAAACUUUACCUUCAAGGGGACUUUAGUUCAAAUCCUGGCUCUAGUACUUACUAGUUUUGUGAUGUUAGAAAAGGUGAUUGAUUAAUGACUGUGAAGCUUGGUUUCCUCAUCUGUUAAUUGGAAAUACUAAUUUCUGCUCUUAGGAUUUUAAUAGUGAUUUAAAAAAAAGUCAACUUGUGAAAGCUUGAGAAAUUUCAAUCACUUUUUUACAAGUUCACUUCUCAUUUACUGAGCACUUACCGUGUCAGCAGCUACCCAGCUUCCUACUGUAAUUGAUCUAAUCCUUACAAGCAACCUUAUGGCUGGUGCUAUUACCAGCACUAUAGAUGAGGAUGAGAGGCAGAGAGAGAUUAAGUAAAAUUCCCAAUAUUUCACAAAUAGUAAAUAGUAUAUCCAGGAUGUGAACCCAGCUAGUCUGUGUGCAGAUGCCAGGCUCUCAACCUCUGUGUUUCUCAGACUCAGCAAAUUGUUCCUAUUGAUUAUUUAUCUGCCCAAAAAAGAUGGUAACCAGCCACAGGGAUAUCCAGUAGGUCUGGUCCAAAGGAACUGUGAGCCUUUGGUGGACAAAUUCCUUUGUAUUUCACUGAUAAAUCUGCAAAUGAGCAGAUGGCUCCUUGGAGGAAUGGAGGAGCAACUUCCUAGAGAUUUAAACAAAACUAUUGAUUAAUCAUGUUCAGAUCUUUAGAAGACUUAACUGAAUUAGAAAGACUCAUUAACAAUAUAUUGCUAUUGAAAGAGAAUGAAGUAAACUCUAACUUGUAGGGCAUAACACGGUGGGUAGAAAUAAAGCCCAAAGAACAGCAAACAUAGACUCAGUUAAGUGCACAUUUUUACCUGUUCCUUGCUUACAUGAUUAAGUAACUGCUUCCAAACGGUUGACAGUUUGGUCAUAACCAAAUCCCACUAAUCAUAGGCUAUGUACUAGAAAACUCAUUUAGACACCAGGAAAAAAACCCCCAGAAUUGCAUGAUCUAAUGAGGUUUUCCCAUCUCCAAUAUCUGUGAAACAUGUUAUUUAGUAAUACUUCAGAGAUGCAUAUGUAAUUUGAAGUAAAUUAAUAUUAUAACCAGAAGUUUCUAUUUUGGGUCCCAAAUCCAAUUGCAGUUGGUAUGGCAUGUUUGUCCUUGUGUGCCUGCCUGGUUACCAGGAAAAAGUCUGCCCUGGGCCCUGGGUUAUGCAGGAGACAGUACUUUGUCUGAGCCUGUUGAAUGCUUGCAUUACUGAGUGACUGAGGGACCUCUCGUGGGUCACAGCACUGCUCAGACUCUCCAGCUCACAUCCUUACUGUCCAUUCACUCAUUUGUUCAUAGUAGAUGUUCAAUAACUAUUUGUUGAAUGAAUGAAAAAAUAAUCCCUUAGAAAAACAGUUACUCCACCCCACUCUGAGGAGGUUGGGUGAGCAGAGCAGCAACGCUGGGAUGAAGAACUAGACACCCUUUUGAGAAUAUUUUUGAGAGUGACUUGAUCAAACUCAGCAUAGAAGCUGGUUAGGGGAAUGGAAUGUGUACUGUGUGAGGCAAAAGCAAUCUGUUUCUGGGUUUUGAACAGCUAUCUGGGGCAGAGUUCUGAACGUACAUGACAUAGCCUCAAGAAUUACUUGUUUGACAACAUCGUGUAUGAGUGGGGCUUUUAUAGGCAAAGAGACAUGUCUUCAGAGGAAAUCACCAACUAGGUUCUGAAGUCUUUAUAAAAACUAGACAGUGUUUAAUAAUGAUAGGGAAAUCAGGAGAGCAUGGAGAUUUCACUAGCCCAAGAGAAGAGCUUGGAGUUUAUUAUCCAUGAUAUGACACAGCUCCCCAUCAAAGGGGUCAGCUUUGUAACUCUUAGCAGGCUGGCAAAGUCCAGGCCAUGGAACUUUGCAGUAGUUCAUGAAAAUGAAGAAUAGAAGCUUUUUUGGGACAAGGCAAUUUUGUGCCUUUGGCACUGUAGGAAUAUUGGCUUGGGACCAUGAGCUUUUUAGGGGCGCAUGAAAACAUUUGAGGACCGAAAAAAAAAGUGUUGCCUUGGAAUAUGAAAAGACAACAGCAAAAUUGAAAUUAAUAAAUGUUUAAUUCAAUGUAUACAAAGUAUAACAUCAUGUUAUUCUUUUACUUGUUAAAUUUCUUACUAAUUAAAUAUUGAUUUUGUUUGGAAACAAUUUGUAGAUUGGGUUUUUUUUACCUUGCCAAAAUUCUCAAGAAUAAAUGAUGACUAUAGAAAAUUUA